rnacentral:rRNA from 1 species
ACGGGCAAUUAGGGUUCGAUUCCGGAGANGGAGCCUGAGAANCGGCUACCACAUCUAAGGCCGGCAGCAGGCGCCCCCAUUACCCAAUGAAAACCNUUUCGAGGUNGUGACGAGAAAUAACAAUACAGGGCAUUUUAUGCUUUGUAAUUGGAAUGAUGGAAUGUNAAACCCUUCCA